rnacentral:rRNA from 1 species
ACUCCUACGGGAGGCAGCAGUGGGGAAUUUUGGACAAUGGGCGCAAGCCUGAUCCAGCAAUGCCGCGUGCAGGAUNAAGGCCUUCGGGUUGUAAACUGCUUUUGUACGGAACGAAAAGCCCUGGGUUAAUACCCUGGGGUCAUGACGGUACCGUAAGAAUAAGCACCGGCUAACUCC